CUUGGCAUCAUAUAUACUAUUCUAAAAGUAGAAUAAUACAAAGAAAAUUAGCAGGGUCCCUGUGGAAAUGACAUGCAGAUUCGUGAAGUGCUCUGUAUUUUG
rnacentral:snRNA from 1 species